UACGUAGGGAGCAAGCGUUGUCCGGAAUCAUUGGGCGUAAAGCGCGCGUAGGCGGCCCUGUAAGUCCGUUGUGAAAGUCAAAGGCUCAACCUUUGAAAGCCGAUGGAUACUGCAGGGCUAGAGUCCGGAAGAGGCGAGUGGAAUUCCUGGUGUAGCGGUGAAUGCGCAGAUAUCAGGAGGAACACCAAUAGCGAAGGCAGCUCGCUGGGACGGUACUGACGCUAAGGCGCGAAAGCGUGGGGAGCGAACAGG
rnacentral:rRNA from 1 species